GGCUGGUCCGAGUGCAGUGGUGUUUACAACUAAUUGAUCACAACCAGUUACAGAUUUCUUUGUUCCCUCUCCACUCCCACUGCUUCACUUGACUAGCCUUAA
ensembl:misc_RNA Y_RNA Y RNA